UGGGGAAGGUGGGCGAGGAGGUCCGUGCCCCCCGCCGUGCCCCGCAUCACCCCCGGCGGGGUGGGUGAUGGCCGGUGGCCCUCAACCGGGGAACGCGGGCAGCGGAGGGGGGUUUGGGCAGCGGAGGGGGGUUUGGGGAGCAGAGGGGGGUUUGGGGAGCAGAGAGGGGUUUACAUCCACCUUCGGGGGGCAGAAGGACUCGGCACUGGGAGGUUGGCACCCCAGUCCCUCCACUGGGCUAUCUCUGAUACAACAUCUGGGCUGAUGUGGUUACUGGUGCAGAGGUGGGUGUUCUCCAGCAGCUCUGGCGAGCCCAGGCGUCUGGAUCUUGCACGGUGCGAGACCCAAAAUAAACAAAAUUUAUCCCUUCCCUCGUCCACGGCUGCUCCGUUGGCAGCGCUUUGCCUCCUGCCGUGCCCGCUGCUGAGAAAACAGCCCUUUUCUUUUUCAGGUGCCCCCGACAGGGUCCUGGUGUCCCCACCUUUCCCACCCGCUCGCUAAUGGCUCCGUGCUCCUGUUCCAGCUGCUUCUGCCAGAGGGGUCUCCCAGCAGGAGAGGUCUCACACCAAAACCAUGUCCCCACACUCCAACAGGCCCUGCCUGGCCAUCACCACGGCCCCUUAAUAAGGGUUUGUCCUCGUCUUUCCUUAAAGCACUGUCUCCUGUGAAUAGUGACUUUGUACAAAAAAACAACAGUUUUUUAACAAUUUUUAAAAAUGUUUUGGUCCUGACGUAUUUGCACCUUUGUGCUUUUUACACGUGCAGCGAUCCGGGUGCUCUCGUUAAUAAAGUUUCUCGGUCGUUUGUUCCCCAAAAUCGUGGCCUGUGGUCUGCAGACGGCUGCCAGAAAGCUCUGGGAUUCCCCACCAGUGGGACAGCAGCAGACCCCGGGACGGCCCUGUGGGUGAGGGUGCUGCCGGCUGGAGCAGGAGGAAGAUGAGGGGAUCCUGUCUGGUGCUGAGCCAGGAGAAGACAAAACCAGGCCAGGCUGCCCAGGAGCGGGGUGUUUCUCAGCGUCAGACUUCCCG
rnacentral:lncRNA from 1 species